rnacentral:misc_RNA from 1 species
UCGAGGAUCCCUUCUUUGCUUUCGUUUUGCCCUUUUUUCCGGUUCGCUUUCGCACUCUCGACAUGGCCCGCGUCCUACUGCCCCUGUGGCGCUAACCAGCCCUCUCUGCAAGUUACUCGAACGAAUGGUGUCGCCACCACGUGGAAGAAAGGCCCCAGCCACAACAGCCUCGCUUUCGCCCUCACCGCGUCCCACCGUAGGCUCUCCUCGACUUGUUUCUCCACCAGGCAGCUCAGCGCCAGCGAGGUGCCAUGAAAGGCGCAGCGCCUGUGGGCUUUGCGCUCGCACAUUCGACUCUGUACACCACGACACAACAAAAGCUCAGCGUAGACCCGCACCGUACUCGCUGGAUCAUGGAUUUCUCAGGCGAUUGUCACGUCCGCGUUCGCUUCCACGAGAAGCGACCGAAGAUGGACAGCUUUACACGCGGAACCGCACAAGGGUCUGUCCAAGGCUUUCUUCUCUCCGUCAUCGUGGUGGACUUGCCGGGUGUGCAGCGCACCAGGACACCCGAACUGCGCCACGCCUUCUGUGAUGACCACAUCACAUGGCAUCUCACCCUCUGUGGAGGCGGUGAGGGGCACUGAAGGCUGGAGGACGUCGUGGAGCUGAGCGUCCCGUAACGGAGGUGCGUAGUCUUCGGUUCGGGGCACUGCAAACGGCUGCGACCCUCCUCAGCCACGCGAGGGGGCUACCCUGCGCACUUGGCGCGGGAGGUGUGCACACCAGAUCCCGGUACCGUCGCAGCACUCUGGCAGUUCUCACACGGGAAUGCAGGCGACGACCUCUUCGGAGCCCUGCACGCAAACACACUUCCUUCAUGUGCAGCAGUCGUGUGCACCUCUCAUUUUAGCUUGCCUGCGGCCAUUGUGGGCUUGAACACAACGACAACGCUGACAAGGUAGCCGAAUCCGUCAUGCCAGAGGAGUCGGCGCCCACUGCAUGAGUGACGGACUUGGCCACCGGCCACAGACGGCAGGCCGACGUCCCCCGAAACUGGCAUGCACGAUGCAGCACGGUGCCACAAGAGAUUCUUGGCCGCAGCCGUCCCGCACCAGCUGAACGAGGACGCUGAGCUUACGAGACGAUCGUAGGUCGUGGUCGCUCAGUCCCGCACGGGCACCUGUCCGCACUUUGCUUUUCUGCAGCGGUGGGUGUCUGUCGCUUCACCUCACACCCACUGUGCCCCUUGCAGAACGGCAGGCUGUGAGCUCUUUGUGCGCCGGUGCUGUGAAGCACAGCUGGCGUGAUGUGUGUGCCAUCCAGACAAAGGCAUCCAGACAUCGGAAGGGCGAGAGUGGCUGACGAAAGGAGGCGCGAAGAGGGCCAUACGAAUCAACCCAGAAGCGCAUGCGUGCGAGAUAUGCGGCGUCCCCCACGUCCGACCGCGUCUGCACCGAUGAGGCACAGAUGCGGGAAGCAUGGAGAGAGCACCCCGACGCUCACCACCGAGCCCUCCAUGUUCCCAUGUUGCGAGCCCCCACACCGCAUUGCAGGAUGUCGCGACUGGAAGCAGCUGAGAGGGCAACGCAUGGGGCACACAGGCAGAGUGCGCAGGGUCUCGGAGGGUUCUGACCUGAAGGUGGCCAACCCCCUUCCUGAGCUCAUCCGGCGUGCGCCUGGGCCACCCCUCUACCGCCCGCAAGGCAGACGCCGCCACUGCUUCCGCCCUCGAGCAUGACUCUGGGCACGGCCCGCAUUGGAUCCAGGCAUGCAUGCCACCCAGGCCUGUGUGGCGCCCAUCGCGCAGCACGUAGCAGAGGAAGGGACGAGGAAUGGCAAGGAGAGCCGGUACGACGCAUGACCCCGAUGCCCACGGCAGGCAGUGUGUCCUUGGCGACCAGAGUGUGCUGCCGUGGUGCAGCAGAGGCAAGGUGGAGCCGUGGCUGUGCGUGCGUAUGUUUGCUGACUUGCUCGCGGGUGGCAUAUAAUGGGCACAGUGGAGAGAACAGAAUUAGCGAUCUCGUCGUGUCUGGGUAGGUACGUAUGAGGUACACAAGACGUUGCUGUGGCAGGCGCAGAGGCCGGCGGUCAGCUGUGAGAGACGGCGGUGAUCAGGGUCAGGGUGAGUAGAUGACAUCGGUGAGCCAAUAACGCUCGAGAGAGACUAGCAAGCGUGUCAACCCUCACCAGCAUUAUCAAAGAACUCAGAGGAACGCCAUAGCGAGCUCGCUCACGAAAGAUAUUCCUGCAAAGAGCGAACCCGUGGGCGUUUGAGGAACGUGUACGUUGGUGUGUUUGCUUUUUUGGUGACGCGUUUUUACUCGAAGUCGGGUGAACGUCUCACGCGCUGUUAGGCACCUGCAGUGUUUUCGUCCAGGCGAACGUGAGCGAUGGGGUGGGACGUGCUGCUGUCGCGGUGAGGCGCAUGCGCGUGUGUGUGCGUGUGGGGUGGGGGCGUUGUUGUUGCAGCCUGUGGCGCUGGUAGUGCGCGUGUCGACGAUAGGUGUGCGCGCCUCCGUUUCUCUUCGGUCGCUGUUUGUUCGUUUCUCUGACAAACGAGAUGGGAUGGACCUCAAGAGAACAUAGCCGUGCGAGAGCGUGUCUCCGCGGAAAACACGAGCACGCUUGACGCGGGUACGCUGCGAUGGAUAUCGCGUCUUUCUUUGACACGUAGACAUCCCCCGAUAGCAUCGGGGGACGCCCCUCUCCGUGUGUGGUAUCCAGUGCUCAAUAGUCUCACUCUGUGUAGGGAAGUCCAACACCCCUCUCCUUAUCUCUGCCAAAUGCCGAACCUCUUCUGGUGGUGACAGGGUCAGGCACCCGCGACGUAGGGAGGUGAGAGCGACUCACUGUUACGGAUGUCGGCGGCCAGGCCCUGGAUGGCGUGGCGUGGGAGCGACCUGCGACAGCGAACACGCUUGUGCCAUCCAUGUGCUAGGCAGAGCGUCAUGGUGACUCGAACGCAUCCCAUCCGGCCCUCGCACUGGCCACUGGUGGUAGGCAGCCUGCGUGCCGCCCCGAGGCGGAUGCACCAAGGGUGGCGACCGGCACGGUGGGGGAGCGGCUGUGCGGCUGCCUGCGACGCGUGUGCUGAGGGCAGAGGUUUGGGGCAGAGGCCGUGCUCAGAUGGCUGAGUCGGGUGCACUGCUGCAACGCGCGUGUCUACGUCUGCUCCGCACCACGCGGAUGGGGCCCAUGGUCGGGCCGGGGGCCGAGUGCCGCUUCGCUCAUGUCACAUGGCAGAGAGUGGACACGUCGAAGAAGAAAAAAUGUGCAGACAGCCCUUGGGGGGGGGGGGUCCCUCGCUUCUCUCCGACGCCCUCAUUUUUUCCUCCUCCCGAGGACGUUGCACGGGUGCAAGAGAGAGGGCGAUGAAAACGCACAGCGAGGGGCGAAUGCUCAUCGGCAAAGCCAAGUGUAGAGGCAGCUGGGCUCCGUGGGGCGAACUGCUCGCCCGGCCCCCUUCCUCUUCUUCUCGCCUUCGACUUGUUUCAAUGCAGCUCACUUGUGCCCAU